GGUAUUAAUAAAUAAUAUUGUUUAAGGAUAAAAAGAGGAUUUUAUUAAGUGAAAUUUUAUUUUUUUUUAUGUCUUUUUUUGAAUUAUAAAAUUAAUAAACUUUUUGUAUAAACUAGGAUUAGAUACCCUAUUAUUUUUAGUGUAAGUUUUGAUUGCCAGAUUAGUAUUAGUUAUAUUCUUGAAAAUUAAAGAAAAUGGCGGUAUUUUAGUCUAUUCAGAGGAACCUGUCCUAUAAUUGAUGAUCCACGUUUUAAAUUACUUAUUUUUAGUUUACAUAUCGCCGUAGUUUGAAUAUUUUUAUAAGAGUUUAAUGUUCAAGAUUUUUGAAAAAAAAAAGAAAAUCAGGUCAAGGUGUAGCUUAUAGAUAAGAAGAGAUGGGUUACAAUAAAUUUAUUUAUAAUGGAUGAAAAUUUGGAAAGUUUUUUGAAGGUGGAUUUGAAGGUAAUUUUAUUAAAAUUUUUUAA
rnacentral:rRNA from 1 species